GGGUCAGUAGGUUGGUCGUGCCACCGGUACGUACUGGUCUCACUGAUUCCUCCUUCCUGAAGAACCGUAAUGCCAUUAAUCUGGUGUUGCGGGGAAACAGGACUGUUACUUUGAAAAAAUUAGAGUGUUUAAAGCAAGCUAACGCUUGAAUACAUUAGCAUGGAAUAAUGAAAUAGGACGAUCGAUCCUAUUUUGUUGGUCUCUAGGAUUGACGUA
rnacentral:rRNA from 1 species